UAUACUCCUCGGCAUUCACUAAGAAAAAAAAAAAGAUGUUCUGUGUCACAUGUGGGCCAAGGUGGCAGAGAGGAGAGAGGCCAUGUCUACACUCAGUGUUCUGACCUGUGAAUGUCUGAAUGAUUACUCUCCAAAUACC
rnacentral:snoRNA from 1 species